UACGAGGGGGGCGAGCGUUGUUCGGAAUUAUUGGGCGUAAAGGGCGCGUAGGCGGUGCGGUAAGUCACCUGUGAAAUCUCCGGGCUCAACUCGGAGCCUGCAGGCGAAACUGCCGUGCUGGAGUAUGGGAGAGGGUGGUGGAAUUCCCGGUGUAGCGGUGAAAUGCGUAGAUAUCGGGAGGAACAUCAGUGGCGAAGGCGACCGCCUGGCCCAACACUGACGCUGAGGUGCGAAAGCGUGGGUAGCAAACAGG
rnacentral:rRNA from 1 species